GACCCAGCUGCUGAACUGUCACCGUUAUGGUGCGCGUGCCCAAGGAUCCUCGGGAUAGGAGCUGGGUCGAAC
rnacentral:ncRNA from 1 species